rnacentral:rRNA from 1 species
UACAGAGGGUGCUAGCGUUGUUCGGAAUCAUUGGGCGUAAAGGGCGUGUAGGCGGUUUGUUAAGUCAUGUGUGAAAUCCCUCGGCUCAACCGGGGAACGACGCAUGAAACUGGCAAGCUAGAGUACCAAAGAGGGGGGUGGAAUCCCCGGUGUAGCGGUGAAAUGCGUAGAUAUCGGGAGGAACACCUGUGGCGAAGGCGGCCCCCUGGUUGGAUACUGACGCUGAUACGCGAAAGCGUGGGGAGCAAACAGG